rnacentral:misc_RNA from 1 species
CCGCUCCUUCACAAAUCUAAAAUUGCAGCCGCCUACCCGUCUCCCCACCGACCAAAUACAAGCCGUUCCUCCUUCUCCCGUCUCUCGAUCUUGUCCAGAAGGUAGAGGCAAUCCGCGAUGUCCACCCCAUGCCGGCACAAGCUGUUUCUUCACCUUUGUACCCGUACAUCCCCAUCCCAUCAGCCACUGCUUUGUACGACCUCAGAUGCCGCAAGGAGAUUACAUAGAGCUACACAGGAAGAGGCAUGGCUAUCGCCUCAACCACUUUGAGCACAAGCGCAAGAAGGAGGCUCGUGAAGUCCACAAGCGCUCUGAGAGGGCCCAGAAAGCAUUGGGUAUCAAGGGUAAGAUGAUUGCCAAGAAAAACUAUGCUGAGAAGGCCCUCAUGAAGAAAACAUUGGCCAUGCAUGACGAGUCAACAUCUAGGCGGAAGGUGGAUGAUGAAGUUCAUGAAGGAGCUAUUCCUGCCUAUCUGCUGGAUCGUGAAACACAACACGAGCAAAGAUCAUGAGCAACACUAUAAAGCAAAAGAGGAAAGAGAAGGCUGGAAAAUGGGAAGUCCCUCUACCUAAGAAUAGCAUAAAUUAGUAAUCAGAGCGCGUGAGAGGAAACCAGAUGGUUAAUGGCUUUUUCCCAAGUAACUUACCGGAAACUGUAAAAACGACGCAUCGCAAUGGGGGUCGCAUGAGCUUCCACGAAAUCCUCAAUAUUAUCGCUUCUCAGGUCGAAGUUGCCCUUCAAAACUUGGCAAAUUUGCGGGCGUGCCAUUGUUGACGUGGAAGAAUAAAUCCUCGAAGGUUUCUACUUCGUUAUCUCUAACAGCCUUAUCGAUGGAAACGCCUCCUCAAGGGUACAGAAGGAAUGUUGGGAUUUGUCUCGUUAAUCCCUCCAAAAAGAUCUUUGCUGCUUCGAGGAUUAACAUACCGGACACAUGGCAAAUGCCUCAGGUAGAUUCAGUUCUUUCCUGGGCUUUUGUUCUUUAGUUGUUUUUUAAUCUCAAUUUUAGCUUAAUUUGAUUUGAUGGGAAAUUCAAUGGAGUUUUGAAGAAUUCAAUUGGAGUUCUGUCUGAUUAAAGGAUUUGCUUGUUAAUUUGAAUUUUUUCUUUUUUUGGUUGAGUUGUUUGUUGGUGAAAAGAUUGAGUGAGCUUUAUGGUGCUGCUUGGCUUGCUUAAUGCAGUAAUGCGUAGUGAAUUGGUGCUCUUAACAUUUUGGCACUGGCCAUUAUAAUUUUGAGACUAAAUACCUGCAAGACGCUGUUUUUUAGUUAAUUUUAGAAUAAACCAAAAGGAUUUGUAUUACAAUUGCUUGGGAGCUUGUGUUUUACAGGGUGGCGCUGACGAAGGUGAGGACCUUAGGAAUGCAGCGAUGAGAGAAUUAAGGGAAGAAACAGGUGUUACUUCAACUGAGUUUCUUGCAGAGGCUCCAUACUGGCUGACUUAUGACUUCCCACUCCAAGUUAGAGAGAGACUUAAUCGUCGGUGGGGUACAAACUAUAAAGGUCAAGCACAGAAGUGGUUUCUUUUUAAGUUUACUGGGAAGGAGGAAGAGAUCAACCUAUUGGGAGAUGGUUCCGAAAAGCCAGAAUUCAAGGACUGGUCAUGGAUGUUACCAGAACGAGUGGUGGAGCUUGCAGUGGAUUUCAAGAAGCCUGUAUAUGAACAAGUUAUGAAGGUGUUUAGUCCAUAUCUUCAGGAAGAUGUAGAUGAACAACUGCACAAAAAGGAAACUGAUACCGAAGUUCUUAUGGAGUUCCCUCCAGCUUGAAAUGUUAAUUAGGAAGUCUCAUUGAUAUGAAGAAGCUAUUUCUGGUGCUAUGCCAGGUUUUGUCUUGAAAUUAACCACAUCUAUAAGAAUAAGAAUCUUCAGUUAGUGGUCUUCAUUUGCAAAUGAAUGAAGCCCAUCGCAUUCAAAGGCUUUCCUGCAAAAACACUGUCAAAACGUGUUUUUUCUUUAUUGGGUAGCUGCUCCAACCUAAAGACAUUAUUUAUUCACUGAGAAGUGACAUUUGUUUUUGUGGAUUAUUAAAGAUUAAAAAGAACUCAAACAUUUACUUAAAAAUUUUCAUUUGUAUAUGCUUAUAUUUUACAUUGGUGUCUAUUGUAGUCAAAUGGUGAAGAGAAAGGGUUUUGUGUGAAUUCCUAAAAUAAUAAAUUUUUACACUCCCAUGUCAUAAAUUUAUAUGUGAAAUUUAUGUAAUAAAG